GACGAACCGUGCGAACGUUGUUCGGAUUCACUGGGCUUAAAGGGCGCGUAGGCGGGCUCGCCAGUCAGGGGUGAAAUCCUCCGGCUUAACCGGAGAACAGCCUUUGAUACUGCGAGCCUCGAGGAAGGUAGGGGCAUGUGGAACUUCCGGUGGAGCGGUGAAAUGCGUAGAUAUCGGAAGGAACGCCGGUGGCGAAAGCGACGUGCUGGACCUUUACUGACGCUGAGGCGCGAAAGCCAGGGGAGCAAACGGG
rnacentral:rRNA from 1 species